AAACUAAAUUCCAUCCCAAGAUGGAACAAAGCCCCGCUGUUCCUCUAAAGAAAAUAGAGAGAGAGAGAGACGAAGCGCGUCGGCGCGAACCAUGGCGGCGAGAAGCCCGCCGCGUCUUGAUCGCGUGUGCACGGAGGAGUGCCAGGACGCGACGGCCGCGACCCCGCCGUCGAUGCGGAACUCCGCCGUACCAGGACGGUGGAUUCGGUCGCCCCUUCCUCGACUCCGCCGGCCGACCUACUCCCCGCCCUACUCCAAUCAACCGCACGGCAGUCAACACGAACUCUUCUCUCUUUCUCCAGUGCAAGCAAGGGAAUUGCAUUUCUCCGCCGGAAGUGAGUAACGAUGAGAUUUGCUGUUUGCUGCUCGGUGGGCCCAAAAUCACACCAUCGAACCCAGGCAAGAGUGUACUAGACUAGUAGACUACUAGCAGUCAGGAAUUGUUUUGUUUUCCUUCAUGCUAGACGGCUUUGUUUUUCUUCGUGUAUGUUAGUAAUUGGACGUGGUGAACAAAGUUUCUCUUUAUUUAAGAGAAGUUUGCUUUUACUUUAUUUUAUUUUUUGUGAUGUAGCACUAAUGUAGGUAGGUAUUAGCAUUUUAAAUACCACUAAAUCAUCUCCUAAUUUUCCUUCUGA